rnacentral:SRP_RNA from 1 species
CCGUGCUAGACGGGGAGGUAGCGGUGCCCUGCACCCGCAAUCCGCUACAGCGGGGUUGAAUUCCCGCCCGAGGCCUCGUCUUUGUGGAGCCUGCCCCGGGUAAGUGGCGCUGACGAUCGGGUCUCGCGCAACGGGCCUUCGUGAACCCCGUCAGGUCCGGAAGGAAGCAGCGGUAAGCGAAUUCGCCCGUGUGCCGCGAGGGCGCCUGGUUCGAGCCAACUGCUCGGGUAACGUCCGGAAGGACAGGUCGACGGCGGGUGCACGG